UGCCAGACUCCUACGGGAGGCAGCAGUGGGGAAUAUUGCACAAUGGGGGAAACCCUGAUGCAGCGACGCCGCGUGAGUGAAGAAGUCUUUCGGUAUGUAAAGCUCUAUCAGCAGGGAAGAUAAUGACGGUACCUGACUAAGAAGCCCCGGCUAACUACGUGCCAGCAGCCGCGGUAAUACGUAGGGGGCAAGCGUUAUCCGGAUUUACUGGGUGUAAAGGGUGCGUAGGUGGCAUGGCAAGUCAGAAGUGAAAGCCCGGGGCUCAACCCCGCGGACUGCUUUUGAAACUGUCAGGCUGGAGUACAGGAGAGGUAAGCGGAAUUCCUAGGGUAGCGGUGAAAUGCGUUGAUAUUAGGAGGAACACCAGUGGCGAAGGCGGCUUACUGGACUGUAACUGACACUGAGGCACGAAAGCGUGGGGAGCAAACAGGAUUAGAUACCCCGGUA
rnacentral:rRNA from 1 species